AAGCGGGAUGAGCUCAAGCUUAAAAUCUCCGUACAAGUUUUGUACGGCGAAUUGUAGUCUAUAGAGGCGUGGUCAGCGCGGGCGCUUGGGGCAAGUUCCUUGGAAGAGGACAGCAUGGAGGGUGAUACUCCCGUUCAUCCCUGAGUGGCUCGUGCGUACGACCCGUUUUCUUUGAGUCGCGUUGUUUGAGAAUGCAGCGCAAAGUAGGUGGUAAAUUCCAUCUAAAGCUAAAUAUUGGUGCGAGACCGAUAGCGAACAAGUACCGUGAGGGAAAGAUGAAAAGAACUUUGAAAAGAGAGUUAAAGAGUACCUGAAACUGCUGAAAGGGAACCGAAUCGUUUCCAGUGUCUAUAAUCCGUGGUAUAUUUCAUUGGCGAGUGUAUGCGUGCGUGUACUGUGGCAGCGGCUUUUUGCUGCGCUCGGUGCUUGUGCUGUGUAUACUUGCUGGUGCCCUGUGCUGCGGUGGGACGUCAACGUCAGUUCGUAUGCUGCGGGAAAUGGCUGCUGAGGAGGUAGGGCUUACGCUUGCGUUUGUCUGUUAUAUCUUGGUAGACGAGUCGUCGCGGUUGGGACUGAGGUGCCUACAACGUGCUUUUGAGUGGGUCUGCGUUUCCGUGUGUGCCGUGUGCGGAUAGCUUGCUAUGCGUGUGUGGUUAUGUAUGGAUUGAUGCGGGCCUUAACUUGUUGCCGUUC
rnacentral:rRNA from 1 species